AAAAAAAAAGAAAAAAAAGAAAAAGUUACCAGAGAGAAGUGCAAUUCCUGAUAUGUCCACAAGUUUUUCUGCUAUUUACCACCUUUUCCUUUUUCACACACUUUUCUCAAGAAAGAAAGGAAUACAAUGAGUAAUGCAACCCCAGCAAUAAGUCCAACUAAUAUUGCAAGUGUCUUCUCUAUCUCAUCAUCAUUGUUGUUAUCUACAUAAAAAGGGUUUUUUGGAAAAGCAAUUAGAUGCCAUUAAAUUAAUACUACAGAAAAAUUAAUAAUCAUAAGCUAACAAUUGCAAUUUCUUGAUUUCAGAGUUGUCAGUAAAUGUUUCUUGCUACAGAAAACUCAAUAAUUUGUAUGUGUGUUUUCUUGUUGCUAUCAUUCUGAGUAAGCAGAAAGAAUGUAAUUGAUUGCAUCAAGUCCCAGUUUUCAAUCAGCUAAGCAAAGAUAUAUUAGGCUACCUACAAGAAGAGCAUUUCCAAUUUGAUUGGGACAUUGUAGUAAUUUUAACAUCAUUUGAGCAAUGAUUCAUACUUUCUUUUCACCUUUACAGAGUUUCAAACACUUGGAACAUUAGAAAUAUGAUUUAUGGCCAUAAUUACUCUAUUUGCAUUGGAUUCUCAUUUGAUUCCUAAUUAAUGAAGCACAUUAGUUCAAAGUGGGGUAUUAUGAUAUUGUGAUUAAGUGCUUCUUCUGUAUAGUUAGCUUUUCUUGCAUGCAUAAGAAUGUGAAUGAUUUUACUUUCCAGAGUCCCUUAAAAUGCAAUUAGAUCAAAAAAUAAAAUAAAAUAAAAUAACAUGCAAUUCCUCUUGUGGAUUUGGUGACAAACCUUUGAUAAAUUUUUAAUUGGACAACCAUAUAUCAUAUGAUCAACCCGAAUGUGUUCAAGCACUUGAUUAAGUAAUUAAUAACCUUCAAGAAGAACCACUUAAGAAUUAAGAGACGGAGAAAACUUCAUUAAAUUUGCUCCAAAAUCUCCUUAAUUAUGUAUUAUACUACAAAAUUCAUAGCAAAGAGGGUAGUCUAAUUAUCUUGAUACAAAAAAGCACUCACUUUCGUCAAUUGUCCACUCUCUAAUUAAUACACACAAAAAUAAAAUAAAUCAAAGGAAAAAAAAAGAAAUUGAAAAAAAGGGAUUCUUGAAUAAUAUUAACUUACCAAAAUCACCCUGCAAAAAAAAAUAAUAAAAAAAGACACUCACGCACGCUCUCACAAUUUGUUAACUAUUGACAUGGUGUGAAAGUAAAAUUCAAUAUGGCAUUCCCACUAAUUCAACCAAAAUAUGCUUAACUAAAAACCAGAAACCAGAAACCAGAAACCAGAAACCAGAAACCAACUCCCAGGGCGGCGAAACAGCUUACCAUUUCCACCGUGAGAGUGAGCCCCACGGUCCGAAAAUCGCACGUAACACUUGGCCAAGAACAAGUCACCCGAAGCGGCGGGCCCACAGUCCGUUUUCAGUCGUCCGAUCGCGUCCGAUAAGCAAUCCUGGCACUCAUUCGCACUUAAAUCCUGUACACACUGUGCCACACCGUAGAUGUCACCGGACCCACCUACCCUGUAAGGCUUGUAGGACCCAUCGCUGGCUCCCAAGUACCCCAACAAGGCAUCGCGCCUGGUCAACGAGUCGGAUUCAUACCCGAUCGACGGCCCACAUUUCUUCAGCACCACGGUCUUGUCCUCCACACCCAAAAAACUGAUAUUAUCAUACUUAACGAAACAACCAUCGAGCUGCAGCGCGCCACCGCACGAGUCAAUGCAGAGAGUGCCGAGUUGACUCACUGCGCUAGCGACACAGCGAGCACAGUCACCAUUGGAAAGGUCUCCGCGGCACUGGAAGAGGCCAUAGAGGGUGUCCUGUGAGGAGGAAGGACUUUGGAUGGUGAAGUUGUUGUAGUUGGUGAGGGUGGCUGAGUUAACCAGGGAGGUGAGUAGCGAGUUGACAUUAGAUUCGUAAGGAGAACCCGAGAUGUAUUUGAGCUGUGAACAUCCACCGAAAAUGAAAGACUCGAGAGAGGAAGUUGAUGGGGUUGAAAGGAGGGAGAUUGUGAGAAGGGAAGCAAAAGCUAUGAUUGCAAGAGACAUGUUUGAUGAGUUCCUGACAGAGAGAUUGAAGGGUUUUCCUUGGUGGGAGGUUAAGAGUAUAACAAGAACAGAAGUGAUCGCUGGUGCUUUGUACAGUUUUUGAACGUCUGCGAAAGGUAGAGAGAGCGCUCUAGCAAAGCGGAGGGCUUUUGCUUUGAGGAGAAUUUACGUAACGAAUUGCAAGGGAGUUACUUGACCUAUGCAUACAUUAUUGCCCCCAUUUUUUUUUCCUUCGCUUUUGUUUUAAAUUUUUCUCUUUUCAAGUCAAUUACACUUGGCGCCAGCUGCAGCUUCUGGGAGUUUUAGUUGAAUUACUAUAAAGUCCUCCUGUAUUUUUAUUAUUUACUAGUUAAUCUUUAUAUAUUGAUAGUUAUAUUAAUACAUCCUUAACCAUUAAGGUUACUUUCUAUC
rnacentral:misc_RNA from 1 species